rnacentral:tRNA from 2 species
GGGCUAGUAGCUCAAUUGGUAGAGCAUCUGACUUUUAAUCAGAAGGUCCUUGGUUCGAUUCCAAGCUAGCCCA